rnacentral:rRNA from 1 species
GACGAACGCUGGCGGCGUGCUUAACACAUGCAAGUCGAACGGAAAGGCCUCUUUCGGGGGGUACUCGAGUGGCGAACGGGUGAGUAACACGUGAGUAACCUGCCCUUGACUUUGGGAUAACUUCAGGAAACUGGGGCUAAUACCGGAUAGGAGCUCCUGCUGCAUGGUGGGGGUUGGAAAGUUUCGGCGGUUGGGGAUGGACUCGCGGCUUAUCAGCUUGUUGGUGGGGUAGUGGCUUACCAAGGCUUUGACGGGUAGCCGGCCUGAGAGGGUGACCGGCCACAUUGGGACUGAGAUCCGGCCCAGACUCCUACGGGAGGCAGCAGUGGGGAAUAUUGCACAAUGGGUGGAAGCCUGAUGCAGCAACGCCGUGUGCGGGAUGACGGCCUUCGGGUUGUAAACCGCUUUCGCUCAUGACGAAGCUUUGUGUGACGGUAGUGGGUAAAGAAGCACCGGCUAACUACGU